GCCCAGAUGGCGGAAUUGGUAGACGCGCGUGCUUCAGGUGCACGUAUUCGCAAGGAUGUGGAGGUUCGAGUCCUCUUCUGGCACCA
rnacentral:tRNA from 1 species